rnacentral:misc_RNA from 1 species
GUGAAUCAUCGAAUUUUUGAACGCAAAUUGCACUCUCUUCGGAGAGUAUGCCUGUUUGAGGGUCAGCCUAAAAAAAAUCGACAUAGUUGCUGUUUCGCGGUGACAUUCGUCGGAAAUUGGGUCAUCUUAAACCUUUGGGUUUUAUAAGGGGCUAAAUAUUUUCUACACUGUUCCACACGUGUUUCU